UACAUGUGGGGCAAGCGUUGUUCGGAAUUACUGGGCAUAAAGGGUGCGUAGGCGGCUUGUUAAGUCAGGGGUGAAAGUUUUCGGCCCAACCGGAAAAUUGCCUUUGAUACUGAAGAUCUUGAGUUCGGGAGAGGUGAGUGGAACUGCGAGUGUAGAGGUGAAAUUCGUAGAUAUUCGCAAGAACACCAGUGGCGAAGGCGGCUCACUGGCCCGAUACUGACGCUGAGGCACGAAAGCGUGGGGAGCAAACAGG
rnacentral:rRNA from 1 species